rnacentral:rRNA from 1 species
GACGAACCGUGCGAACUUUGUUCGGAAUCACUGGGCUUAAAGGGCGCGUAGGCGGGCUGACAAGUCUGGGGUGAAAUGCCGCGGCUCAACCGUGGAACUGCCUCAGAUACUGUCGGCCUCGAGGAAGGUAGGGGCAUGCGGAACUGUAGGUGGAGCGGUGAAAUGCGUUGAUAUCUACAGGAACUCCGGUGGCGAAAGCGGCGUGCUGGACCUUUUCUGACGCUGAGGCGCGAAAGCUAGGGGAGCAAACGGG